CGGAGUCUGNAACCCGACNCCGUGAAGCUGGAUUCGCUAGUAAUCGCGCAUCAGCCAUGGCGCGGUGAAUACGUUCCCGGGCCUUGUACACACCGCCCGUCAAGCCAUGGAAGCCGGGGGCGCUUGAAGUGCGUUGCCGCAAGGCGCGCCCUAGAGCGAAACCGGUGACUGGGGCUAAGUCGUAACAAGGUAUC
rnacentral:rRNA from 1 species